CGCCCGGAAACAUUCCGAACCCGGAAGCUAAGCCCACAAACGCCAAUGGUACUGCACCCGACAGAGUGUGGGAGAGUAGGACACCGCCGCAACA
rnacentral:rRNA from 1 species